rnacentral:tRNA from 1 species
GGGGGCAUAGCUCAGCUGGUCAGAGCAUCGGCUUUGCAAGCCGAGGGUCAAGGGUUCGAAUCCCUUUGCCUCCA